AGAGCGAACGCUGGCGGCAGGCCUAACACAUGCAAGUCGAGCGCCCCGCAAGGGGAGCGGCAGACGGGAGAGUAACACGUGGGAACGUACCCUUCAGUUCGGAACAACCCAGGGAAACUUGGGCUAAUACCGAAUACGUCCGUAAGGAGAAAGAUUUAUCGCUGAAGGAUCGGCCCGCGUCUGAUUAGCUUGUUGGUGAGGUAACGGCUCACCAAGGCGACGAUCAGUAGCUGGUCUGAGAGGAUGAUCAGCCACAUUGGGACUGAGACACGGCCCAAACUCCUACGGGAGGCAGCAGUGGGGAAUAUUGGACAAUGGGCGCAAGCCUGAUCCAGCCAUGCCGCGUGAGUGAUGAAGGCCCUAGGGUUGUAAAGCUCUUUUGUGCGGGAAGAUAAUGACGGUACCGCAAGAAUAAGCCCCGGCUAACUUCGUGCCAGUACGCCGC
rnacentral:rRNA from 1 species